GAUUAACGCUGGCGGCAGGCCUAAUACAUGCAAGUCGAACGGAUCCUUCGGGAUUAGUGGCGGACGGGUGAGUAACACGUGGGAACGUGCCCUUUGGUUCGGAACAACUCAGGGAAACUUGAGCUAAUACCGGAUAAGCCCUUCGGGGAAGGAUUAUCGCCAUUGGAGCGGCCGCGUCUGAUUAGCUAGUUGGUGGGGUAAAGGCCUACCAAGGCGACGAUCAGUAGCUGGUCUGAGAGGAUGANCAGCCACACUGGGACUGAGACACGGCCCAGACUCCUACGGGAGGCAGCAGUAGGGAAUCUUGCGCAAUGGGCGAAAGCCUGACGCAGCCAUGCCGCGUGAAUGAUGAAGGUCUUAGGAUUGUAAAAUUCUUUCAGC
rnacentral:rRNA from 1 species